AGGGUUGUGGCUCAGCAGUAGAGCACUCACCUAGCAUGUGCGAGGCCCUGGGUUCGAUCCUCAGCACCACAU
rfam:Ictidomys tridecemlineatus contig065287, whole genome shotgun sequence.